rnacentral:antisense_RNA from 1 species
CUUGAGUGAACCGAGCAGGAGCGGGCGCUCCGGAUCGCGGUCCUGGCCGUAGGUGGCGAGCAGUGCCUGUGCCUC